AUUGAACGCUGGCGGAAUGCUUUACACAUGCAAGUCGAACGGUAGAGGGGGCAACCCCUUGAGGGUGGCGAACGGGUGAGUAAUAUAUCGGAACGUGCCCAGUCGUGGGGGAUAACGUAGCGAAAGCUACGCUAAUACCGCAUACGAUCUAAGGAUGAAAGCGGGGGACUCGCAAGAGCCUCGCGCGAUUGGAGCGGCCGAUAUCAGAUUAGGUAGUUGGUGGGGUAAAGGCUCACCAAGCCAACGAUCUGUAGCUGGUCUGGGAGGACGACCAGCCACACUGGAACUGAGACACGGUCCAGACUCCUACGGGAGGCAGCAGUGGGGAAUUUUGGACAAUGGACGCAAGUCUGAUCCAGCCAUUCCGCGUGCAGGAUGAAGGCCCUCGGGUUGUAAACUGCUUUUGUACGGAACGAAAGGGUUUCUAUUAAUACUAGGAGCUCAUGACGGUACCGUAAGAAUAAGCACCGGCUAACUACGUGCCAGCAGCCGCGGUAAUGUGACU
rnacentral:rRNA from 1 species